rnacentral:tRNA from 1 species
GAGGGUGUAGCUCAGUGGUAGAGCGCCUGCUUAGCAUGCAUGAGGUCCUGGGUUCCAUCCCCAGUCCCUCCA